AUGUCAGUCACAUUUAAAACCAACGUUGCUUCAUUUAAGAGUGAAAGGAUGCAUGUCAGGAGUCUGAAGGAUACAAGCAGAGAAAAUUUAGAAUGAAUAGAGGUCUCACAUGAACUAUACUUUCAUCUCUACAGAAGCAGAGAAAAACAGUUCUAUUCCAAAAAAUAUAGAAAUAUACUUGGGAUUUUUAAACAUAUUAGUGUGAGAGUGAGAAGAGCCCAGUGAAAGUGGGACAAUAUGCCAGAGGAUUUCUAAUAGAAAUAGAUUAGAAAGUCUUCGACUGGCUGUAAGUUCAUAUGUUAUCAUUCCCAGUAAAACUCUGAAUUUCGAAAUCUUUUAUGUCAAUUAACUUCUAAACUCCUGUAGUAAAAGUGUUAACCUUAUUAUAUAGGUUUAAAAACACAGUACAUAACUGGGGGGUUCUCUCAAGAUUUUACAGUAAAUCUAAGGAGCAUGCUCAGAAUGGAGGGAAUGCUGAAUGCUGCACUCAUGGUAUAAUUAUUUCACUGACUCUGUUUUGUUGGGGAUUUUUUUAAUUCAUUUUUAUCGUGCAAUAAUCCAAAUAGUACUAAACCAGAAACCUUGUGCUGUUUUUCUUGAGUGUAAUCCAAGAACUUGGUCACAGAAAAGUCUGUACUACUUUACACUGUAUUUUUUUCCUGAGAAAAAGAAAACCCUCACAAAAGCUAUUCUCUAUCUUCUCUUUACAGACUGGCAAGAGUGAACAGUUACCUGACAAAAACAAGAAGGACCCUCAGUUCAUGGACUGACCAGUUAAAAGAAAAAAUACAAAAGAUGAAAAUAAACCAUGAGUUCUCAUGACAGAAGGAUUAUUCCACAAGGAUUCAUAUCUAACACAGAACUGUUCGCAGUUCAUAAGUGAAAAGGCAUGAAUGACGAUGUGACAACAUUUGAGGAACGUAUCUAAUAAUUCGGAUCUAAAGCUGAUUGAAAAAUACUGCAAGAGGCUUCCACAACACUGUGAUAAAGUGUCCAGGAUAAAGUGUCCUUGAUUCCCGGCAGCCUCUGAUGGACUUCCUGCAUAUGAAAGAUCUUCUACAUAAACAUCCACAAAUGAGAAUCAUAUGCAAUUUCUGCCAGCCUGAUCCCAAAUGGGCCCCUCCAUGCCAGGGAAACUGGUGAGCAACCUCCAGUGAAGUGUCCAAGGAGAUGAGCCAUGGAGCACCUACACAGCGGGUGUGGGUGCAGUAACCUGCUGCUGGAUGGUGACAAGCAAUGAGACACUGUAUCUUCAUCAGUUCCAGCUAUGUCAGGAAGGAAACAUCAAUCUGCUGCCCUGCUGAUGGCUAAACCAGUAUAAACAGAUCUAACCAUGCUAAACCCUUGACUGCACACAACCAUGUGUACUAUACUUGCUAUAUUGAUUUGAAAAUCGAUAAUGCUAAGUGGGUAACCCCCCUGUGUAAACAUAUUUAUAGCACUCUAAAGGAUUUUUUUCCCACCAAAAUGAUAUUCCUAUAAAUUUAUCUCUAAUACCAUUUUAUCUAAUACCAAUUUUAUCGUAAUCUACAGCAUGAAGUAGUGUUGCAUCCUGAGCCAAUAUAUAAGCAUUAAAGAUGACUACUUUAUCUCUA